rnacentral:tRNA from 1 species
UUGGGUCUGUGGCUCAAUGGGAAAGCACCUGUUUUGCAUGCAAAAGGCCUCAGGUUCAAUCCCCUGAAUCUCCAGUUAAA